rnacentral:rRNA from 1 species
CACGUAGGGCGCAAGCGUUGUCCGGAAUUAUUGGGCGUAAAGAGCUCGUAGGCGGUCUGUCACGUCGGCUGUGAAAACCCGAGGCUCAACCUCGGGCCUGCAGUCGAUACGGGCAAACUAGAGUACUGCAGGGGAGACUGGAAUUCCUGGUGUAGCGGUGAAAUGCGCAGAUAUCAGGAGGAACACCGGUGGCGAAGGCGGGGUCUC